UAGCAUUACUCCACUUGAUCCCUAGCCUAUCAUUAGCAUUCUUACUCCACUGAUCCAGCUAUCAUUCAGCUUACUACCACUGAUCCCUAGCCUAUCAUCAUUAGCAUUACUACCACUGAUCCCUAGCCUAUCAUUAGCAUUACUACCACUGAUCCCUAGCCUAUCAUUAGCAUUACUACCACUGAUCCCUAGCCUAUCAUUAGCAUUACAGCAUUACUACCACUGAUCAUUAGCAUUACUACCACUGAUCCCUAGCCUAUCAUUAGCAUUACUACAAGAGAGAAGCCAUCAUCUAUACAGUAGCAUCACCAGGCUCCCCACUGCCUGAGUCCCACAUGGCCCCCUAUUCCCUUCACAGUGCACUCCUUUAACCAGGUUCAUUUUCAAAUGAACAAAAACAAUCCUCACAUUAUCCUUGAAUAAGUUUUACGAGUACCAAUUCAGCGCAACGACACCCACACUGCUCAAGUCAUAGGCACCUUUUUUAUCCAAAUGAUGUUGGUAGAAGACUGCCUCAGUAGGCAUGGUAGUCUAUAGACUGCUAUGGGUACUUGGUAAUUGGCUGGUCUUCAGUAGCUAACUAGAAAUACGGUCAGAUGUACAAUCAGGGCUCUCCCUGGGAUUUUCUGCCAAGGUGGUGCGGAUGUAGGACUAAGGUUGUGUAGGGGAAGGCCCAGAUUGGGUCAAUCGACUUUCCCCUCAGGCUAGAGCUAUAAAUUAAAUCAAACAUUGUAGUAAACACAGAAGUAUUGUGUUUGAUGCUAAAUGAAAUUGAGGUGGUUUUUUUCUAGGUUAAAUUGAGGGGUAAUGAAGGUGGAUCGUCUAGUGAAAAUGCAAAUUAGCUUCUUCUUAAAUUUGUUUGAGGAGAAAAUUCUAAAUAAUUAAAUUAAUGGAUGCAAUGUAGUAGUCUAGUUGACUGUAGGAUAUAUGGAAUAUGACAAAAAUUGAGCUAGGCCUAUAAGAGCUGGUUCCAGAUCCCUAUCCCUGACCUCAUCCACCGGCCCUGACCUCAUCCACCGGCCCUGACCUCAUCCACCAGGUAUUUGAAGAGGACAGAUCCACAAAUGAUUCAAUAACAUAGGCCUGCUAAUCUUUAACACUUUAACAUAACUUUCAAUGAAGGAUGGUAUUAGCAGAACAGCUCUCUGCCAUGUAUGUUUCCAUCCUCACAGUGACGCGCACUGAACUAGCGCAGCGCUGAACUAGCGCAGCGCUGAACUAGCGCAGCGCUGAACUAGCGCAGCGCUGAACUAGCGCAGAGCUGAACUAGCAUAACACUCAGUAACAUUGAACUACUGCAACACAGCACAUGUUGCUCGUCAAGGUGCUUGUGCCUACUACCAUUGCAGAGAAAUUGUUCUCGCUUAGUUGACUAAACACUGUAGCUAACUACCUUAGUCGUAAUGACGCCUUAGCUAAGGAG
rnacentral:lncRNA from 1 species